ACGUAGGUGGCAAGCGUUGUCCGGAUUUAUUGGGCUUAAAGGGUGCGUAGGCGGUCUUAUAAGUCAGUGCUGAAAUAUCCCGGCUUAACCGGGAGGGUGGCAUUGAUACUGUAGGACUUGAGUAAAGUUGAGGUUGGCGGAAUUGACGGUGUAGCGGUGAAAUGCUUAGAUAUCGUCAGGAACACCGAUAGUGUAGACAGCUAACUAAGCUUUAACUGACGCUGAGGCACGAAAGUGUGGGGAUCAAGCAGG
rnacentral:rRNA from 1 species